GCCGUAGCUCAGUUGUAGAGCAUCUGCCUUGCAAGCAGAAGGCAUGGCCAGGUAUGGUUAGGAGAGACACCUGCCUGAAACC